rnacentral:tRNA from 1 species
CGCGGGGUCGGGUGGGCCCCCCGGGCGUGCGGCCUGGCUCGGGGACCGGCCGCUGGUCUGCCAGGUGCUGCUCCCGCCCCGCGC